rnacentral:misc_RNA from 1 species
GUGAAUCAUCGAAUCUUUGAACGCACAUUGCGCCCUGUGGUAUUCCGCAGGGCAUGCCUGUUCGAGCGUCAUUUCAACCCUCAAGCUCUGCUUGGUGUUGGGCCCCGCCCCUGCGGCCGGCCCUAAAGUCAGUGGCGGCGCCGUCUGGCUCUAAGCGUAGUACAUCUCUCGCUCUAGGGUCCUGCGGUAGCUUGCCAGAACCCCAACUUCUAUGGUUGACCUCGGAUCAGGUAGGGAUACCCGCUGAACUUAAGCAUAUCAAUAAGCGGAGGA